CUCCCUCUCUCUCUCUCUCUCUCUCUCUCCCCCCCUCUCUCUCUCUCUCCCUCUCACUCUCCCUCUUCACACACACAGACGCUCGUCCUCUACCACUCAUGGUAUACUCUCUGGAAGGGUUCUCGAGACGAUAAUCGACUCGGCGACCAAUGGUGGUGGUAGAUAGAGUAGUAGUGGGUGGCUCAAACUCCAUGUAAAAUGGACGAGAGUCUGCCGUGUAUUUUAGUACGAUAGUAUUGGUGGUUCACGUCAAAAGCGUGAAGAGGAGUUAGAGAGGAGGGGAGAAGGUAGCAGCAGAAACACCCACCUCCCACGUUGAUCGGAACGAUAAUCGACGUCGCUUUACAUCGCUGAAUAUUGACAAGAGCCACUCGGAAUGCAG